GACGAACGCUGGCGGCGUGCUUAACACAUGCAAGUCGAACGGAAAGGCCCUGCUUUUGUGGGGUGCUCGUUUGGCGAACGGGUGAGUAACACGUGAGUAACCUGCCCUUGACUUUGGGAUAACUUCAGGAAACUGGGGCUAAUACCGGAUAGGAGCUCCUGCUGCAUGGUGGGGGUUGGAAAGUUUCGGCGGUUGGGGAUGGACUCGCGGCUUAUCAGCUUGUUGGUGGGGUAGUGGCUUACCAAGGCUUUGACGGGUAGCCGGCCUGAGAGGGUGACCGGCCACAUUGGGACUGAGAUACGGCCCAGACGCCUACGGGAGGCAGUAGUCGGGAAUAUUGCACAAUGGGCGGAAGCCUGAUGCAGCAAUGCCGCGUGCGGGAUGAUGGCCUUCGGGUUGUAAACCACUUUCGCCGUUGACGAAGAGGUAUUGACGGUAAUGGGUAAAGAAGCACCGGCUAACUACGUG
rnacentral:rRNA from 1 species